UACGUAGGGGGCAAGCGUUGUCCGGAAUCAUUGGGCGUAAAGAGCGUGUAGGCGGCCAGAUAAGUCCGCUGUGAAAUCUCGAGGCUCAACUUCGAGCUGUCGGUGGAAACUGUCUGGCUAGAGUCCGGAAGAGGAGAAUGGAAUUCCUGGUGUAGCGGUGAAAUGCGCAGAUAUCAGGAGGAACACCGAUGGCGAAGGCAGGUCUUUGGGCCACUACUGACGCUGAGAAGCGAAAGCAUGGGGAGCGAACAGG
rnacentral:rRNA from 1 species